UAGAGACGGGGUUUCACCAUGUUAGCCAGGAUGGUCUCGAUCUCCUGACCUCGUGAUCCGCCCGCCUCCGCCUCCCAAAGUGCUGGGAUUACAGGCGUGAGCCACCGCGCCCAGCCGAUUGGUGCAUUUUACAAUCCUCUUGUCAGACAGGAAAGUUCCCCAAGUCCCCACUCUACCCAGGAAGUCCAGCUGGCCUCACCUCCAACUAGACUCGGCCAUGGGGACCCUGCUUCACCUUUCUGAGUGUCUGCUUCUGUUGGCAAUGGCAGAGAAGUUUAUCUCCCCUGCUGUGGGGCAGUGGCAAAGUGGAAAGGAGAAAAGUUCAGUAUCUGGCAGGAAUGUGUUUCUUUAACAUUUCUCUGUGCGAGAAUGGGAAGAGUGGCACUGGGAUGGGUUUUCUGCCAUCACUGCUCAGGGCCUAAGAGCCAGGGUGGAAUAGCCCCCUUGCCCUGCCGAACUCGUGAAGGUGAGAAUACCAUAGGCAGCCUUUGGAGGGGAGGGGAGGGAAUGAAUAGGGUGGUUUGAAGAAAACUGAUCUUGGCCCUGCUGACCCUGGCCUGGGCCAGGCAGCUCCCUAAGGGCAUUGUAUUAUAACUGUUGGUAGAGGGGCUGCAAGAUUGCGGGAGCAUCCCCACAACCGGGUUGUGCCCAGAAAGUGUUCCCGCCCCUGCCCUUGUUUUUUUGAGACUGGGUUUUCUUAUGUUGACCAGGCUGGUCUUGAACUCCUGAGUUCAAGCAAUCCUCCUGCCUCAGCCUCUCGAGUAGCUGGGACCACAAGCACGCGCCACCACGCCCAGCUUUCCCACCCUCUUCUUCAUCAUUUUGCUUUCCUGGCCACAGGAGCAGAGGCUUUUGUGCCUGGCAUCUCACCCCUUGGCCUUCUUCCAACCCCAGCUCCAGCGGCUGCCCCUCACUGUGCCUUUUCGGCUCAGUCCUUGCACAGGUGCAACCUGGAAUGGCAAUGGUGGGAGGAGGAAGUGGGAGGCAAGAGGAGGGGGAUAGGUGCUUCAGCCUCCUGGCCUUCAGGGAGUCGAUUCUGAUGUGUACUCCACACCGCUUCAGGCCCACUUAAGAACCACCUCAUUAACCCUCCUCACCCCCUGAUUGCUUCACAUGGUUGCCUCCCCGGUUAACCACCUGCAUCCAAGUUGUCUCUGGCCCAGCUUCCUGGGAGCUGCACGCUCAGAUCGCACGUGACUGCCAUCCCCGUGAAGGUGAUUGGCCAAAAGAUAGAGUGUGUCCCCAAGCAGGGCCAAUCAGAAUCCUCCCCUGGGCAAACACGAGCUGCUCACGUGUAGGCACUGCAUAGGCUGCAGGUGGUGCCCAGCACGUGGAGGCGGCCGGAUCUGGGAUGUGAGAGAGAGGGCGAGACCCCUGCGAAAGAAGAGACAAGCAGACGUGAGAGUCUGGGGGAGCGUCUUGGGGUUUUGAGCACGAACGAGGGCUCCCUGAGGGAAGGGACUGGGGCUCCUUCAUCUCUAUGAUCCUAGUGCAGUGUCUGAAGGCAUCAGGCUGACCUCAGUUUCCCUGCAUCCAAAUGGAUCAGUGUCGGGUUACAGCUACACUCCAGGCUACUGGCAAUGUUCCCAGUGACAGCCACUACAGCCUGCAUUGAAGGCGAGGGAAUCCACGGUGAUGAAUUAGGCAUCUGUAGAUAUUUCUCCAGAGCUGCAUCUGUUAAACCCAAAGCAGGUCUUGGCUCCACUGAAAUCAAAUUCAACAUGAAAAGCCCUCAAUAUGGAGCCCUGGGGCACCCCCAGCCCAGAGCCACGCUGCAGCCUCCCCCUCAUCCCCGCUCCGUGGCACAUCGCACAUCACCUGGGCCACCUAUUCUGUAAAUUACUGUAAAAUUCUAGUAGAGAACUUAUCUUUUUUCCUAUCAAGAGAAUGACCUACAGAAUGAAAAAAUAAUUCAAUGGAGGAAGAUGAAAGUAAAAUGCAGCUUCAUUCAGGGAGCUUUUGGGAGAGAAAAAUAGAAAAUGCCUCUGUCAUUUGCUUUUAAAAAUCAAGAAUGGGGAGCAUGUAACUCUCUCCAGUAAAUACAACUAGUAAUAAAAAUGCUCUUUAGUUGCAUGCUGUGGCUGGUUCUUGGAGAGAGGCUGAAGGGGAAGGAGGAGGAAGGGGCUCAAGAAGUAGGGCAGGGGGAGAGAAGCAGCCAGAAACAGGUGACUAGAAAGAAGGAAAAAAAAAUCAAAACUCCAUAAAAGAGAGGGCAUGAAUGACAGUCGCAUGCAAAGCAACACAAAAAUACAGACAAAGAGAAGCAUGCACACAUCACAGCCCAGCCACUUGAUAGGAAGAGAGACGGAGAUGGGGAGGCUAGAGGAAGAGAAACAGACACAAAGAGGGACAUGAGAGGGAGACAGGCGAAGACGGGCUCAGCAAACAAUACAGCUAUUUAAAAAUAACCAACACCACAAUCGAGGCUUGUUUUUGUUUUUAAAGAAGCAAACAUUAUCAGAAUUAUGUUUUCCCAGCAUUACUUUUUAAUGUGUUUGCAUUCCUGUCCAACUUUGAGAAGCUCAGGCAUUCUUAAAAAUCCAUUCUCCUCAUUUGCCACCCAGAGAACUCCUCGUUAA